AGCUCCAAUAGCGUAUAUUAAUGUUGUUGCAGUUAAAAAGCUCGUAGUUGGAUUUUGGGCAAAUUUCUUGGCUGGUCGCAUUUGAGGUGAAAAUUUAUUUUCAUUUCUUUUGUGUUUAUAAGAGGGAUUAAAGGGGGAGUCAAAUCUUUUUUUAAUCUUUUUUACUAGUUGGGUUUGCCUUUACUUUCUUUUAUUUUUCUUAAAGAUCUAGUGUACUCUUUACCGGGUGUGCUAGAGAUUUAGGACUUUUACUUUGAAAAAAUUAGAGUGUUCAAAGCAGGCGUUAAAUUUUUUUUAUUGCUUGAAUACAUUAGCAUGGAAUAAUGAAAUAGGACUUUGGUUCUACUUUUCGUUGGUUUCUAGGACCGAAGUAAUGAUUAAUAGGGAUGGUUGGGGUGGUUAGUAUUUAAUUGUCAGAGGUGAAAUUCUUGGAUUUAUGAAAGACUAACUUCUGCGAAAGCAUUCCACAAGGACGUUUUCA
rnacentral:rRNA from 1 species